rnacentral:rRNA from 1 species
GGUUAAGCGACUAAGCGUACACGGUGGAUGCCCUGGCAGUCAGAGGCGAUGAAGGGCGUGCUAAUCUGCGAUAAGCGCCGGUAAGGUGAUAUGAACCGUUAUAACCGGCGAUACCCGAAUGGGGAAACCCAGUGUGAUUCGUCACACUAUCAUUAA